CAAUAGCGUAUUGUAAAGUUGUUGCAGUUAAAAAGCUCGUAGUUGGAUUUCGGGCUCGACGGCGACGGUCAGCCGCAAGGUAUGUCACUGUCGGCGUUGGCCUUCUUCGCGCAGACUUCGCGUGCUCUUAACUGAGUGUGCGUUGGAUACGCGACGUUUACUUUGAAAAAAUUAGAGUGUUCAAAGCAGGCUUGUGCUUGGAUACAUAAGCAUGGAAUAAUGGAAUAGGACUUUGGUUCUAUUUUCCGUUGGUUUCUGGAACCGAAGUAAUGAUUAAUAGGGACAGUUGGGGGCAUUCGUAUUUCGUUGUCAGAGGUGAAAUUCUUGGAUUUACGAAAGACGAACUAAUGCGAAAGCAUUUGCCAAGAAUGUUUUCAUUAAUCAAGAACGAAAGUUAGAGGAU
rnacentral:rRNA from 2 species